AGGGAUUCUUUAUUGGGUAAAAAUUAGCUUGAACCUAAUUUUGGAGUGUUCGAUUCGCUCAGAAUCCUUU
rnacentral:tRNA from 1 species